UAGGUUUUCAGAAUAAACUGUUUUUUCAUUUUAUCCAGUCCUUUAUUGCUUCAUUAAACUCCCAAACUCCAAGCAAAACCUGGAGAAGAGACUUCAGUUAAUUGAAUAGAAAUUUAAUUAUGUCAGAAAGUGGCCCUUAAUGUCCUGUGAUGGAGGAACAGAGGAAAAAUCACCAGAGCAGAUAGACAUUUGCUUGAUUAGUGAUGAUGGUUUCUGUUACUUAUAUUUAAAAGUUAAGUAGUAUGUAUUGAAUGUUGUUCAGUUUCAUCAAAUUAUAUUUAUCCAUUUUAUUGCUAUUUUAAAUGCUCAAAUAAUUAAAAGGUAAAUGUUUUCAUAGAAAUAUAAUACUCAAAGGGACCUCAACAAUUUAUUUUCCUUUGUAUUCAAGUAGAUUUUAUCUAAGACACCUCAACUAGAUAUAAUAUGUAAAUAUAUGUAUAUGUAUAUAUUUGUAUAAGUAUAUUUAAAAAACAGUAUAAUAUUUCCAGUUCCAUCCAUGUCAUUGCAGGUGACAAGAUUCCAUUCUUUUUUAUCGCUUUGGCUAUUUUUGAUAAUACUGCUAUAAAGAUCAGGGUACAUAUGCCCCCUUAAAUCAGUAUUUUUAUAUCCUUUGGGUAAAUGCAUAGUAGUGCAGUUGCUGGGUCAUAUGAUAGUUCUAUUUUUAACUUUUUGAGAAAACUCCAUACUGUUUUCCAGAGUGGCUGCACCAGUUUGCAUUCCCAACCAACAGUGUGAGAGGGUUCCCCUUUCCCUGUAUCCUUGCCAAUAUCUCUUGUUUCCAGAGGUGUUAAUUUUAGCCAUUCUGACAGGUGUGAGGUGGUAUCUCAUUGUGGUUUUGAUUUGCAUUUCCCUGAUGAUCAGUGAUAUUGAGCAGUUUUUCAUUUGUCUG